rnacentral:rRNA from 1 species
GAUGAACGCUGGCGGCGUGCCUAAUACAUGCCAGUAGAACGCUGAAGGAGGAGCUUGCUCUUCUGGAUGAGUUGCGAACGGGUGAGUAACGCGUAGGUAACCUGCCUGGUAGCGGGGGAUAACUAUUGGAAACGAUAGCUAAUACCGCAUGACAACAGUUAUUGCAUGAUAACUGUUUAAAAGGGGCAACUGCUCCACUACCAGAUGGACCUGCGUUGUAUUAGCUAGUUGGUGAGGUAACGGCUCACCAAGGCGACGAUACAUAGCCGACCUGAGAGGGUGAUCGGCCACACUGGGACUGAGACACGGCCCAGACUCCUACGGGAGGCAGCAGUAGGGAAUCUUCGGCAAUGGACGGAAGUCUGACCGAGCAACGCCGCGUGAGUGAAGAAGGUUUUCGGAUCGUAAAGCCCUGUUGUAAGAGAAGAACGAGUGUGAGAGUGGAAAGUUCACACUGUGACGGUAUCUUACCAGAAAGGGACGGCUAACUACGUG